rnacentral:lncRNA from 1 species
CUCUUUGGCAGGCUUACUUCUCUCUACGCACUGAAUCUAACUGAAACCGUAAAUGUAUUCUAAACUCAAGUGGCAGCUAAUGCUCCUGCCCGUGGAGAAACAGAAAUAACAGGGGGCUUCCUUGCACAUCGGUGUCUGUGCCUCGAAUUGUCCGUUAUUCGGAAGAACUGAAAUCUGCAGAAAACAAGCCAGAGCAAGGUUUCUUUUCCGGCAACGUACAGCCAUUGCGGGACGGGAAGCGACUCUUCUCUUUUCUCCUAAACAGGGGGAGCUGUAGGCGGGCGAAGCGGGAUGAAGAGCCGUUCUAGGCAAACGCUGUUUCCGUACCCAGCAAGCCUUGCGGCAUUCUUACUUUACAAUCAUCCGUUUGUGACCUUUCUUUCCUGGGGUUUCUCUGACUUUGAAGAUGCUGGGUAAUAUUUCAAAGUUGUGGGCUAUGUAUAAACCUUCACAAGAAUUUCAACCUAUCGUGUUUUCUGCGAUCUUAACGGGAUACCUUUUUUACAGACUUGAAUUUGGAGGUAAAAAUGCAGCGGAAAAAGAGAAGAGGAGAACCAGCCCUCAGCAUCAUUAAAACUUGCAAUCUUCAGUAUGAAUUUUUGAACUGUCAUCCUAGCUGUAAACGAGCUGAGCUACAUCAUGGGAAACUAAUUAUUCUGUAAGCAGUGUGCAUCAUUAGCACAGUGGUAAUCUGCCAUUUGUCGUGGAGUGAAUAAAUGUGGUGUUCAAGAAGUGUGCCGAAU